AAUCCGUGCAGGAAGGAGCUGCACUUCACGAAAUGGAACUACGCAGUGUCGCAGAAACAAAGCCACAGCACCAUAAGGAGAGAGAGAAGGGGGCUCGACGACUACCAACCACCGCCAUUCUCCAAUGGCCACGUUGCACCAAGGUGUAUGGAUCGGCCUCUGCAGACAUCUGCAAACCCACAAGU